AGAACGAACGCUGGCGGCAUGCCUAACACAUGCAAGUCGAACGCUUCACCGGUUUCGGCCGGUGGGGAGUGGCGCACGGGUGAGUAGCGCGUGGGAACCUGCCCUGUUGUGGGGGAUAACCGAGGGAAACUUCGGCUAAUACCGCAUAAGCCGGUUGUCUUGAAAGAGAUGGCCGGGAAAGAUUUAUCGCGACAGGAGGGGCCCGCGUCGGAUUAGCUAGUUGGUGGGGUAACGGCCCACCAAGGCAGUGAUCCGUAGCUGGUCUGAGAGGAUGAUCAGCCACACUGGGACUGAGACACGGCCCAGACUCCUACGGGAGGCAGCAGUGGGGAAUAUUGGACAAUGGGCGCAAGCCUGAUCCAGCAAUGCCGCGUGAGUGAUGAAGGCCUUAGGGUUGUAAAGCUCUUUUGGCGGGGACGAUGAUGGACGGUACCCGCAGAAUAACGCCCCGGCUAACUUCGUGCCAGCAGCCGCGGUAA
rnacentral:rRNA from 1 species